UUUUUUUUUUUUUAAAUUUUGUAGAGACGAGAUCUCCCUGUGUUGCCCAGGCUAGUCUCAAACAUGUGACCUCAAGCAAUCGUUCUGCCUUGGCCUCCAAAUCGGUGGGAUUAUAGGUGUGAGCCACUGUACCUGGCCAAGAAAUCAGCUCCACCUGUUUUCUGUAUAAAGUUUAGCAUCCAGAUACAAAGCAAAAUAACGUUUAAAGAUCAAGGAAUCUGAAAGGAAGCUUGUGGGAGGGGAAUGGGCUGAAGGCAGCGUUUUUUGGUCUACGGUUUUGCUUAUUCUUGGACUUUCCAAAGUCCCGAAAGAAGCAGAAGGCAAGUGAGAAGGGAGGAAGAGGCGGGAGGAAAGGAGGAGGGCUGCGCCUCUGAGGUUGCAGAUUAGCCCAAGGCGGCUCAGUGGCUGGGAAGGAAGGAAGGAAAUUCCCAAGCCCGAAGGUAGAGACAGAGUCCUGGGUCCAGCAGAGACUGGAGGGGAGGAGGGUGCCGGGAGCCAAAGACCUUCCUGCUAGCAUUGCAACCUCUUAAACUGCUUAGGCUUUUAUCCAAAUUUGGUAUGUCCGCAUUUUGUAGACCUCCAAACCAAGUCACUCAGGGUUACCCAAGCAGGAAGGAGAGGAUGAUAGGAGAAGGUGCCCCAUCUGAUGAUGCCCUUCUGGCUUUUAUCCAUUCCUGGGAAUGACUCUUUCUCCAACUCGGGGGAUGCCCCUCUGGGAGAAUACAGUGGCAUGGACCAGCAGUGGAGAAUUCCAAGUCCAAAAAACGAUUGGCAUUUUAAGGAAAGUAAGAAAUCAUCCUGCAUAUAUGAAACAUUGGGAAAAAAGGUUAUUACUAAUAAUUCUCAAGAGACCACUCUGGUGAGAUUGGGUUUCUUGGGGAUGUGUGGAGUAGGGUAUAUGUACUGAGUGGGCACAUCCCACCAUUCAGACUCCUCCCUCAGCUCCUGUCUACUGUAGCAGUCAGAAGGCAGCUCCGGUCCUCAUCUCCGCUGAGCGACCCACUCACUCAUUCACUCACUCGUUAACUCAUUCACUCACUCACUCACUCAUUCACUGCUUCACUCGCUCACUCACUCAUUCACUCACUCAGUCCUUUAUUCAUUC
rnacentral:lncRNA from 1 species